ACGUUAUUAGAAGCGCUCUAUCAUCGUCCGUCAUAAUAGGUCGGAGACAUAUUGUAGCGCUUUUUUGUUCUGCUAUCAUUAUUUCCUUUAUUACAGCGCUUUUUCUGCUACAAUCUUUAAUUAUUUAAUAGCGAUUAGUUUCUGAUAUAAAUAA
rnacentral:sRNA from 1 species